rnacentral:rRNA from 1 species
UACGGAGGGUGCGAGCGUUGUCCGGAAUCACUGGGCGUAAAGGGCGCGUAGGCGGCGCGGGGAGUCAACGGUGAAAGCUCGGCGCUCAACGCCGAGUCGGCCGUCGAUACUCCCGUGCUCGAGCACUGUAGAGGCAGGUGGAAUUCCGGGUGUAGCGGUGGAAUGCGUAGAGAUCCGGAAGAACACCGGUGGCGAAGGCGGCCUGCUGGGCAGUAGCUGACGCUGAGGAGCGAAAGCGUGGGGAGCGAACAGG